rnacentral:lncRNA from 1 species
AUAGAUUUGACUAUCAAUUCAAUAGAUUUUUCUUGGUCAUAUUCAGAGGGAGGUCACAAAAGCCCCUGUGGCUAUAAUUGGAGUAGGUUUUCCUUUUGCUAAACUUUUCUGAGCAAAGCGCUGUUUAGGAGUUGUGGCACCGAACAUCUUUGUAAGUCGGAUGCAUACUAAUUGUUUCCUUACUAGCUAUCACUAAGCAUUUCUUAGGCUUCUGCGUCACUUUUUGGCAUGUUCUUUUCUGAUUUGAAAGUUGCAUAAAUCAAUCCACCUGCAUUUCAAUCUGUACAGGCAAUAAUUCUGUUAUUUACAGCAAUAUAGUUUACCUGGCAAAUAUAAAUUAACAAAAUUCCUUUCUUCUCAGCCAUACCUUCACGAGUCUCGACACCGCCACGCCAUGAAGCGAGCUCGUGGGUCAGGAGGACGGUUCCUCAACACAAAGCAGCUCCAGGAGCAGAACCAGCAGCAUCAGGCAUCAGGUGGUUCGAGCUGCUCAAAGGUCAUUGGCAACACCAUAAGCUCCCAGAGUGAUCCCAACCCUACCACACCUUCAGCACCUGCUUCUUCCGACACCGCAAGUGCUUCAAGGACCAACCAGGACCGCACCUGCUUUCCGUCAGUUGGCUUCCGCCCCGCCAUGAACUUCAGCGAACAAGGUGGAGGCAGCGCAAAGUUGGUUAGGUGAAGAGAAGUGGAGAGGGCACAGCAGCAUCGCCAGGCAUACUGCCUGUGGCAACUCAUCCUUGGCUUUUGAAACCAUGAAUAUGUAAUGGACAUGUAGCUUAAGAGUCACAGAAUAACUAAACGCCCAUAUAUAUGCAAGUUCUUUUAAGCUUGCUGAGGCAAAAAGAACUGUGGUUAUGAGUUUGUUUCUAGACUGAAUUUCUAGACUGAAAUCCAUACAUAGUACUGGAUUCUGGGGUGGGAACCUCGAAACUUAUUCAGCAGAUGUUGCCUUUUGUGUCUGCUAGGAAAUUUGCCAGGUCUGAUUUCUAGUACCUGCUCACCGCUCUGGUUGUUAUCAGUUUUAUCAUUAUUUUUCAUAAUGAAGGUAAAUCUCCGGCAUACUGUGCACCAUCGAGUGGACUCAGCACCGGUGCAAAAUAUUAGAACUGAGCUGACUAGCUGAGACAAUAUAAUCAGACACGAUAAAACCCAAGAAUUAAUCACUUGCAUAUGCAGUUACUUAGCAAAAGAGAAUUCUGAGACCAAAGUAUAGAAUGUGUUCUUGAGCUCAAAUUAAUAGAAAAAUCUGAGCAGAACUCAGGUUUUACAAGUAGUUCUUAGUUCUUAGCCAACAGCAUCAAUUUACAGGCCCACUGGUAAACAAUUUACAACUUGGGCAAAGAAAGUAUUAGGGGAAAUGGAAAAUCAGUCCCUAGUUUUUAAAUGGAAGCGCUCAGCCUCAGCACCAUCUCGAGCCUCUCAGCCUUGCGGUAGUCAUUAUCAGUAAGAUGUCCAGCGGGGAAAGGCGUAAUCUCCAGAACCAGGUGAGGAGUGGGAAGCUCAUCGAACAAAGCUCUCACAUUGUAGCAGCACACACUCUCACCAUGAGCACUUUCCCUCCUUAUUUGGCAACCCUGGUUGGUAAUUUAAACAUUUAGAUUAUCAACUUAGGAACAACCAAAUAGGCACAAAAGAAACAUGUUUAACACCUCCAUUUUUACAGGUGUGUUUGUAUUCCAAAAUGAUGUAUAAUAAAAGGGCAGAUGACAGCAUGUGCUCUGUCCAGAGAAAAGAAUUUACCUUGUGAGUUGAAGCAUCCACAAAAUGGUCAUCUUCGGACAGAACUGAAGCUAUCUCUUUCAGGAUCCGCCUUCCUUCUUCAGUUGAUCGAACUCGGUAGGUUCUCUUCAGCGUGCCUUUAGUCGUUGGCCUCCAUUUGCUAGUUAGCUUCCUCUUAUCCUGAGCAUCUUUCUCACCUGAUCAACCAAAACAAGAUCUAGAUUAAUCACCUUCUCUAUUACAUAACAAGGUAAUGAGGUAUAUAUGCUUAGAAAUUUCCACAGAUAGCUUGUAAAGACAUAAACAGUACAAAUCUGCAGUUCUGGAACUCUAAAAAGGAUCUACAAUUAUGGAUAAACAGUCGCAAGUGAUUAUCAAGAUCAUGAUGGUUUCCACUGAACUGCUUCUGUCAUAUUGCUGAGGAUAUGUUCCUGUUUUUCCUCCUUGACGUUGAAUCUAAAUGUAAUGAAAUCUAAAGAAAAAUACAAAUGCUGAUUAAGGUUACUAACCAUCAUUAUGUAAAAGAGAAAGCAUUCUGGUCCCAUUACAAUGAGAUUUGACAUGGAAAACAAAUUCUUGAAUUUCGAAACAAAACCUAAAGGUCAAAAAUAGGGACAAGAACACACUUCAAUACCAGUAUACUUCUAAAAAAGGCCAGCACUGGCAUUUACAUAUGCUACAAAUGGUUGGCCAAUCUAUCCAUUCUUGCAAGCAGAUGCAAACUUUGUAGUGAUCCUCUUGUAAG